GACGAACGCUGGCGGCGUGCUUAACACAUGCCAGUCGAACGGAAAGGCCCUGCUUUUGUGGGGUGCUCGAGUGGCGAACGGGUGAGUAACACGUGAGUAACCUGCCCUUGACUUUGGGAUAACUUUAGGAAACUGGGGCUAAUACCGGAUAGGAGCUCCUGCUGCACGGUGGGGGUUGGAAAGUUUCGGCGGUUGGGGAUGGACUCGCGGCUUAUCAGCUUGUUGGUGGGGUAGUGGCUUACCAAGGCUUUGACGGGUAGCCGGCCUGAGAGGGUGACCGGCCACAAUGGGACUGAGAUACGGAGCAGAAGCGUACGGGAGGCAGUAGUGGGGAGUAUGACGCAAUGGGCGGAAGCCUGAGGCAGAAACGCCGCGUGCGGGAUGACGGCUUACUGGUUGUAAACAGCUUUCGCCUGAGACGAAGCGUGAGUGACGGUAAUGGGUAAGGAAGCACCGGCUAACUACGUG
rnacentral:rRNA from 1 species